CCUACGGGUGGCAGCAGUGGGGAAUAUUGGACAAUGGGCGAAAGCCUGAUCCAGCCAUGCCGCGUGUGUGAAGAAGGCCUUCGGGUUGUAAAGCACUUUCAGUGGGGAAGAAAGCCUUGGGGCUAAUACCCUCGAGGAAGGACAUCACCCACAGAAGAAGCACCGGCUAACUCCGUGCCAGCAGCCGCGGUAAUACGGAGGGUGCGAGCGUUAAUCGGAAUUACUGGGCGUAAAGCGCGCGUAGGCGGUCUGAUAAGCCGGUUGUGAAAGCCCCGGGCUCAACCUGGGAACGGCAUCCGGAACUGUCAGGCUAGAGUGCAGGAGAGGAAGGUAGAAUUCCCGGUGUAGCGGUGAAAUGCGUAGAGAUCGGGAGGAAUACCAGUGGCGAAGGCGGCCUUCUGGACUGAAACUGACGCUGAGGUGCGAAAGCGUGGGUAACAAACAGGAUUAGAUACCCUGGUAGUC
rnacentral:rRNA from 1 species